UGCAUCGGCCGGGAAUCGAACCUGGGCCGCCCGUGUGAUGGACGAGCAUUCUACCACUGAACCACCGAUGG
rnacentral:tRNA from 1 species